rnacentral:rRNA from 1 species
UAAUUUGAUAAUCCGCAAAAAACCUUACCACAGUUUGAAUAUUUAUAUUUUUAUAUAUUUACAAGCGUUGCACGGCUGUCUUCAGUUAAUGUCGUGAGAUUUUGGUUAGAUCCAUUAAAUUAACGUAAGCCCUUACUUUAUUUAUAAAUAAAGUAGUUCCCCACUAUAUUGGAUAUGAUAACAGGGACUAAGAUAAGUCAUCAUGGCCUUAAUGCUGU